rnacentral:misc_RNA from 1 species
UUGUGGAGGAGGACGCCGAAGGUGGGGCUAAUGACUGGGGCGAAGUCGUAACAAGGUAGCCGUACCGGAAGGUGCGGCUGGAUCACCUCCUAACAGGGAGACAACAAAAUGUUUAAUAUUAUUAUUUUGUCACCUUAGGUCGAUCGGUAUCUCACGUUCUUAAAUCUAUUAAGAAUUUCAUUUCCUAAGUUUUUCUAGGUCACACCCAUUAUUUUCCCUGGGCCAUUAGCUCAGGUGGUUAGAGCGCACCCCUGAUAAGGGUGAGGUCCCUGGUUCAAGUCCAGGAUGGCCCAUAUCUCUAUGUUGGGGGUAUAGCUCAGUUGGUAGAGCGCCUGCUUUGCAAGCAGGAUGUCAGCGGUUCGAGUCCGCUUACCUCCACUGAUUACCACCUCUGCCAUAAUUUUUAAAAAGGGGAAUAUCAUGAGUUGUGAUCAAAAUCCUGAACGAAUCUAGCUUCCUAAUGAAAUCAUUAAGAUGCUGGACUCAUUGAAUUAAUUUCAUUGUUUUCAGAGAACCUUGACAACUGCAUAGAUUAUUUUUAAAGACAAUAAGCAUCUUUAAUGAUGCAGAUUUAUUAUUUGUGCGAAUGCAUUAAUAACAAUUCUAUUAAGCUGAUGCUUCAAUUUUGAAGUUAUUGGUCAAGCUACAA